rnacentral:rRNA from 1 species
GACGAACGCUGGCGGCGUGCUUAACACAUGCAAGUCGAACGGAAAGGCCCUGCUUUUGUGGGGUGCUCGAGUGGCGAACGGGUGAGUAACACGUGAGUAACCUGCCCUUGACUUUGGGAUAACUUCAGGAAACUGGGGCUAAUACCGGAUAGGAGCUCCUGCUGCAUGGUGGGGGUUGGAAAGUUUCGGCGGUUGGGGAUGGACUCGCGGCUUAUCAGCUUGUUGGUGGGGUAGUGGCUUACCAAGGCUUUGACGGGUAGCCGGCCUGAGCGGGUGACCGGCCACAUUGGGCCUGAGAUACGGCCCAGACUACAACGGGAGGCAGCGGUGGGGAAUAUUGCACAAUGGGCGGAGGCCUGAUGCAACAACGCCGCGCGCGGGAUGACGGCCAUCGGGUUGUAAACCGCAUUCGCCUGUGACGAGGCGUUAGUGACGGUAAUGGGUAAAGAAGCACCGGCUAACUACGUG